GACGAACGCUGGCGGCGUGCUUAACACAUGCAAGUCGAACGCUGAAGCUUGGUGCUUGCACUGGGUGGAUGAGUGGCGAACGGGUGAGUAAUACGUGAGUAACCUGCCCUUGACUCUGGGAUAAGCCUGGGAAACUGGGUCUAAUACUGGAUAUGACCUCCUGUCGCAUGGUGGGGGGUGGAAAGGGUUUGUACUGGUUGUGGAUGGGCUCACGGCCUAUCAGCUUGUUGGUGGGGUAAUGGCCUACCAAGGCGACGACGGGUAGCCGGCCUGAGAGGGUGACCGGCCACACUGGGACUGAGACACGGCCCAGACUCCUACGGGAGGCAGCAGUGGGGAAUAUUGCACAAUGGGCGCAAGCCUGAUGCAGCGACGCCGCGUGAGGGAUGACGGCCUUCGGGUUGUAAACCUCUUUCAGCACGGAAGAAGCGAAAGUGACGGUACGUGCAGAAGAAGCGCCGGCUAACUACGUGCCAGCAGCCGCGGUAAUACGUAGGGCGCAAGCGUUGUCCGGAAUUAUUGGGCGUAAAGAGCUCGUAGGCGGUUUGUCGCGUCUGCUGUGAAAGCCCGGGGCUUAACCCCGGGUGUGCAGUGGGUACGGGCAGACUUGAGUGCAGUAGGGGAGACUGGAACUCCUGGUGUAGCGGUGAAAUGCGCAGAUAUCAGGAAGAACACCGAUGGCGAAGGCAGGUCUCUGGGCUGUUACUGACGCUGAGGAGCGAAAGCAUGGGGAGCGAACAGGAUUAGAUACCCUGGUAGUCCAUGCCGUAAACGUUGGGCACUAGGUGUGGGGGACAUUCCACGUUUUCCGCGCCGUAGCUAACGCAUUAAGUGCCCCGCC
rnacentral:rRNA from 1 species